CACAAUAAACAUAUGAAGGCUGCACCGCCAACAGGCGGCAAGGCUGGAGUAUUUUAUUACCCUUGUCUUUUGCGCACUGUUGUUUCCUGGGCGGGUUCGCCGCCUCAGGACCACAUGAUAAACCUUUUUUAUGCAGUUGCAAUCAGCGUCAGUACAACAAAUGUAAAUCAUUUA
rnacentral:misc_RNA from 1 species